AAAAAUGAAGGAAGCUAACGUGAGAGGAAAAUUAGAAUGAAACAGAACAUGAGAAAAUGUGUUUUUUCUUUUUGAAGCUUUCCUAUUUCAAAAUUAAAAUAAAAAAAAUAAUUAAGUCAAAAAUUUACAAAACUUAAACCUAUCAAAAUUUUCAGAGUUGAAACCAGAAAAUAGUUUUCACUUUGUAUAUACAGGAAUUCAAACACACAACCAAAGGGUAUACAGAAGCUUAACCAUUGAACCACUAGGCUCAUCGUUGUCCCUCAAACGUAAAAAAAAGAAAGAAAAAAACGUAAAAGUCUAUCCAAAACUACUGACUCACCUGCAAACCUUAAUUCUUUUAACCCCAAAUUUCGGGGCAUUACAGUAAAUUUCAUUGCAAAAUGAGAUGAUCACUUAAAUGGUUAUUUUGUAA
rnacentral:lncRNA from 1 species